UACAGAGGGGGCAAGCGUUGUUCGGAAUUACUGGGCGUAAAGCGCAUGUAGGCGGCAGCGCAAGUCGGGCGUGAAAUCCCACGGCUCAACCGUGGAAGUGCACUCGAAACUGCGCAGCUAGAGUCCUGGAGAGGAAGGUGGAAUGCUUGGUGUAGAGGUGAAAUUCGUAGAUAUCAAGCGGAACACCGGUGGCGAAGGCGGCCUUCUGGACAGUGACUGACGCUGAGAUGCGAAAGCGUGGGGAGCAACAGG
rnacentral:rRNA from 1 species